rnacentral:rRNA from 1 species
AGAGUUUGAUCCUGGCUCAGAAUCAACGCUGGCGGCGUGCCUAACACAUGCAAGUCGAACGAGAAAGUGGAGCAAUCCAUGAGUAAAGUGGCGACCGGGUGAGUAACACGUGACUAACCUACCCUAGAGUGGGGAAUAACUUCGGGAAACCGAGGCUAAUACCGCAUAACAUCGCAGAGGGAAGCUCUUUGCGAUCAAAGGAGUAAUUCGCUCAAGGAGGGGGUCGCGGCUGAUUAGCUAGUUGGUGAGGUAACGGCCCACCAAGGCUAAGAUCAGUAUCCGGCCUGAGAGGGCGCACGGACACACUGGAACUGAAACACGGUCCAGACUCCUACGGGAGGCAGCAGUGGGGAAUUUUGCGCAAUGGGGGAAACCCUGACGCAGCAACGCCGCGUGGAGGAUGAAGUCCCUUGGGAUGUAAACUCCUUUCGAUCGGGACGAUUAUGACGGUACCGGAAGAAGAAGCACCGGCUAACUCUGUGCCAGCAGCCGCGGUAAU